GAGGGUAUAGCUCGGUGGUAGAGCACAUCCUUACGUGCACAAGGUCCUGGGUUCAAUUCCUAGUACUUUCA
rnacentral:tRNA from 1 species